rnacentral:tRNA from 1 species
CGGGUGUAGCUCAGAUGGUUAGAGCGCCGGCCUGUCACGCCGGAGGUCGCGGGUUCGAGCCCCGUCACUC